UUUACCCUGCGUUGUGCGUGAUGGGAUCAUAAUUUUGACCUUAUGAGAUACUUUUGGGAGCUGUCCCUGGCAGUCGUGUGCAUGCCCUUGUGUUUAUGAGGGAAGCCUAAAGCUGUUAAAUGGUUCCCUUUUAAAAAAAGGUCAUAAAGUAUUUUCUCACACGGCAAAGGCAGGGUUUAU
rnacentral:other from 1 species